rnacentral:rRNA from 1 species
AAUGCUCGCAAGAGUGAACUAGCUAACUGAGAUCUCCAUUUCUAUGCUUAGGCGCAGAAACCCUAAUUCAUUAUUAUUAUGUUUUAGGGCUACCCAGGAUAAGGUUAGGGAUAAUAAUGAUACUACCUUUCUAUAGUGUUGUCAAAACUUGGUGCCAGAAGACUCGGUAAGGCCGGAAACACAAACGUUAAUCUUCUUAAUCAGGCGUAAAGGGUUCGUAGGCGGCUUUAAUUAUAUUACUUUAAUUGUAAUUACAACUUAAAGCUAGAAUCAGGUAGAGGUUAAAAUAAAAAGGCAAGGCCAGCAAAGUAGGGGUUUUAUCUUUAGAGAUUCGGCCGAAGACUAAAAUGCGAAAGCUACUAUUCCAUUACCGAAUUUGACGCUGAGGAACGAAGGUGAGUGAAAGGAAACAGGAUUUGGUACCCCACUACCCUCUCUGUCAACGAUGAAUGGUAAUUAUUGGUUCUGGUUUUUAUACCUACAACUAGUUUUAAUGUUAACACGUUAACCAUUCCGCCUUGUGAGUACGAUUGCAAAAUUGAAAACAAAAAAAUUAGUCAGUUUUGGAGCAAACGAAGUGAAGCAUGUUAUU